AAAUAAAAAGAUAAACACAAAAAAAUCUGCAGAUGCUGGAAAUCCAAAACAACAUACACAAAUUGCUGAAGGAACUCAGGAACAAACAGUGGACGUUACGGGCUAAGACACUUCAGGACCCUAUUUCAAGUACAUCCACUGCAGCAUUUCAUCAAACAAAUUCUGUAUCCUCAAAGCAUUCUUCACAACAUGGAAAUCUUUUCCAAAGGAUAUUUUAAAAAUCUACAAGACAAAACAAUGUUAAAAUUUACAGUGGUAAAUUUUGGAACACACUUAAUACAAAGUUAUACUGCACAAUACAAAAGUGUCAAUACAAACUCUUAAUGCAAAGAGUUGUAUCAGGGGUAUCUUUAUUGCCACCAAGGCAGUGUAUGGCCUAAACCCCCUUCUCUCCAAAAAUGGACAAAGGCCUCUAAAGGACAAUGAUACCAUCAAUUCUCGAUGGAAGGAACACUUUCAGGAGCUACUACUGUAGACAUUGAAGUCAUCAACCAGCUCCCACGACAACCUAUGAAUGAAGACACGAGUAAGCCUCCUAGUAUCUACGAAGUGAAGGCAGCUUGCAAGAAAUUGAGAAACAAGGCCACUGUACCUGAUGGAAUUCCAGCAGAAAUCCUCAAGAAAGGUGGCACAGAACUUCUAAAUUAUAUUCAUGACCUGCUUGUCAAGAUCUGGAAUCAGAAGACGAUUCCAUCUGAAUUCAAGGACACCCUGAUUGUCAACACUUAUCAAAAAAAGUGACAAAGCCAAUUGCGAAAAUUAUAGAGGCAUCUCCCUCCUCUCUACAACAGGAAAAGUACUCAGCCAAAUUUUAUGUGACUGGCUUUCACCUCUGGCAGAAGAUCUCCUGCCUGAGUCUUAGUGUGGCUUUCAUCCAGCCAGAGGAACAUCUGAUAUGUUUUUUUUUAAACAGCACAUUAAUUGCAGAAGAAAACCUGGGAACAAAAUCUCCCACUUUAUAUGGCCUUCAUAGACCUUACAAAAGCAUUUGACUAAAUCGUCCUGCCCUUUGGCAGGUACUGUCCAAAACCGGAUGCCUGGAGAAAUACCUCAAGAUCCUGCAGCUCUUGCACUCCUAUCAUUGUUUAACAGUCAUCAGCAACAGCAGCUCUGAAACAGCACCUUUUAAAGUUGAGACCAGGGUCAACUAGGGGUGCAUCAUUGCCCCAACUCUGCUUGCCAUUUCAUUGCAACGAUUCUUCACCUCACAGGCCAAGACCUCCCACAAGGAGUCCAGAUUCUCUAUAGGACAGAUGGAGGGCUCUUAAAAGGUUCAAGGUAAACAGCAAGGUGUCAACUACUUCUGUCAUGGAGUUCCAAUAUGCAGACAACAACGCCAUCACAGCUCACUCUGAGAAUCUGCAGUGCAUAAUGGAUGCCUUUGCCGGAGUAUACAAGUUCCUGGGACUUGAUCUAAACAUCACGAAAACCCAAAUCUUGCAACAACCUGCUCCAGAUCAAGCUUCUAAACCUCCAACCAUCCAAGUUGACAACAUUCCUCUGGAGAACACUGAUCAUUUCUCAUAUCUUGGCAACUUUCUUUCUUCAAGAGCCGACAUUGACCUUGAAGUAAAAUGCAAAAUAGGCUGUGUGAGUGCAGCUUUUGCCAGGCUGAGAAAGAGGGUUUUUGAAGAUUAGGAUAUCAAAGCCAACACUAAGCUUCUGGUCUAUAAAGCUAUAGUCCUCUCUUCCUUGCUAUAUGGAGUAGAGUCACAGACAACAUAUAACAGACACAUAAACUACCUAGAAACUUCCCAUCACAGAUGCCUCCAAAAUAUUCUUAAUUAGCUAGAAGAACAGGCAUACUAAUUCCAGCAUCCUGGAGGAAGCAAACAUUAACUCCAUAGCCACAAUCAUGACUCAACACCAAUUGCGACAGGUCAGCCACAGAAUCCGUAUGCCUGCCUCCUGCCUCCCACCUCCCUAAACAACUCCUGUUCGGCCAACUUAUGGAUGCAAAGCGAACUCCUAGAGGGCAGAAAAAGUGGUUCAAGGACAGUAUCAAGACCCACCUGAGGAAGUGCCACAUCAACCUGAAUGGAUAGGAGAGCUUAGCACAGGAUAGGAAAAGCUGUCUAUGAGGGGACUGCACAGCUCGAAGAAUACCUCCACCAUGCCGCUGAGACUAAGCAGCUUCAAUGUAAGGAGAGACUGGGAAAAGGCCCAACCAGCUACAUCCACCACCACUUCAAUGACUUACACCUGCCAACAUUGGAAUAGGACUUGUGAAUCACGGAUCGGCAUUUUUUAAUUCAGGAGGAGGGCUGGGCAUGGGGAUAGCAACCCUAUCCCAUAAAAAAAAGUGCUACAAGAAUGUCAACAGAAGUUCUAAAACCUCAUCCCUGGGAGAGGAAGGAUACACCAAGAAGAUGGGUUACACCUGGAGACAACAUGAAGGACUGGCCCAGCUCAUAGAAGUCUGGUGAGCUACUGUCCGCUGUCUAUGCCCCAGUAGUGGUGAUUGGGCUUAAGUAAGUUCACUUUCAGACCAAUUCUUGUGGAGGGCUGAAGUUGAAGGCCAAGGAACAAGGUCCGUGGCAGGGACUGAAAAGAAUACCUAUGGUUUGCUCACUAUUUUAUUGGGAGAAAUUUUAUUUUUCAUCUUGUCCUGGAUGUCAAACGUACCGCUUAACAACUUAAAGGUGGUGGGGGGGUAGAAAUCAGAAAGAAUGAAGUAGAGAUGCAUCUAAUAUAGGAAGCCUGAGGUUUUUCAAAUAAUGUUGCCAAGAAAUAGAGGGGUUAAUAAAGCACUAUUGGGAGACACUACAUCCUCUUGUACUAGUGUACCAAGCAGUCUUUAACUGGAAAGACAAGGAUAGGAAAAGCUUCAUGUGAUCCCAUCCAGAUGGACUUAGAAAAGCAAUGGAGUCAUCUAAUCAAAUCUACAAUGAACUGCAGACAGGUCAAAAAGGAUUUUUUAAAAAAGUAGUCACAAAUGAUAAAGAAUUUCACUCAUGAUUCAUUAGCCAUUUUGGUAGUAUUCCAGUUGUGGAAACUCAAAAAAGUCAAAGAAAUUCUUCAACAUUUGGAAACAAAUGACUCCACCACAAAAAAUAAACUUGAGUUGAAACCUUGUCAAUUCAACUUCAGUACAAAAUUAGAUGCAGAACCAAACUUUCCUGAUAUUUAAGUCAAACCCAUUUAAUAUAUGUCUAUUAAACAAUGUUCUGUAUUAGUAAAUCUGAAUAGGUCUUUGUAAUAAAAUGCCAUGCAGAAAAAUUAGCACUUAUUUAUAAAACAGA